GGCCAGAUGCCCGAGCGGUUAAGGGGAUAGACUCGAAUCUCUUCGCCAUCUAUUAGGCUUUGCCUGCGCAGGUUCAAGUCCUGCUCUGGUCG
rnacentral:tRNA from 1 species